rnacentral:rRNA from 1 species
CCCUUAGAUGUUCUGGGCCGCACGCGCGCUACACUGAUGCAUUCAACGAGCCUAUCCUUGACCGCCAGGUCCGGGUAAUCUUUGAAUCUGCAUCGUGACGGGGAUAGAUUAUUGCAAUUAUUAAUCUUCAACGAGGAAUGCCUAGUAGGCGCAAGUCAUCAGCUUGCGUCGAUUACGUCCCUGCCCUUUGUACACACCGCCCGUCGCUCCUACCGAUUGGGUGUGCUGGUGAAAUGUUCGGAUCGGCCGUUUGUCGCGGUUUCCGCGUCAUGUGGCUGAGAAGUUCAUUAAACCCUCCCACCUAGAGGAAGGAGAAGUCGUAACA